rnacentral:rRNA from 1 species
UGGUUUGUCGCGUCGUCUGUGAAAUUCCGGGGCUUAACUUCGGGCGUGCAGGCGAUACGGGCAUAACUUGAGUGCUGUAGGGGAGACUGGAAUUCCUGGUGUAGCGGUGAAAUGCGCAGAUAUCAGGAGGAACACCGAUGGCGAAGGCAGGUCUCUGGGCAGUUACUGACGCUGAGGAGCGAAAGCAUGGGUAGCAAACAGGAUUAGAUACCCUGGUAGUCCAUGCCGUAAACGGUGGGCGCUAGGUGUAGGGGGCUUCCACGUCUUCUGUGCCGUAGCUAACGCAUUAAGCGCCCCGCCUGGGGAGUACGGCCGCAAGGCUAAAACUCAAAGGAAUUGACGGGGGCCCGCACAAGCGGCGGAGCAUGUGGAUUAAUUCGAUGCAACGCGAAGAACCUUACCUGGGCUUGACAUACACCAGAUUGCUGCAGAGAUGCAGUGUCCCUUGUGGUUGGUGUACAGGUGGUGCAUGGUUGUCGUCAGCUCGUGUCGUGAGAUGUUGGGUUAAGUCCCGCUACGAGCGCAACCCUUGUCUUAUGUUGCCAGCAUUUGGUUGGGGACUCAUGAGAGACUGCCGGGGUUAACUCGGAGGAACGGUGGGGAUGACGUCAAAUCAUCAUGCCCCUUAUGUCCAGGGCUUCACACAUGCUACAAUGGUCGGUACAACGCGCAGCGACAUCUGUGAGGUGGAGCGAAUCGCUGAAGCCGGCCUUAGUUCGGAUUGGGGUUGCAUCGACCCCAUGAAGUCGGAGUCGCUAGU